rnacentral:rRNA from 1 species
GAUGAACGCUGGCGGCGUGCCUAAUACAUGCAAGUCGAGCGAACGGACGAGAAGCUUGCUUCUCUGAUGUUAGCGGCGGACGGGUGAGUAACACGUGGAUAACCUACCUAUAAGACUGGGAUAACUUCGGGAAACCGGAGCUAAUACCGGAUAAUAUUUUGAACCGCAUGGUUCAAAAGUGAAAGACGGUCUUGCUGUCACUUAUAGAUGGAUCCGCGCUGCAUUAGCUAGUUGGUAAGGUAACGGCUUACCAAGGCAACGAUGCAUAGCCGACCUGAGAGGGUGAUCGGCCACACUGGAACUGAGACACGGUCCAGACUCCUACGGGAGGCAGCAGUAGGGAAUCUUCCGCAAUGGGCGAAAGCCUGACGGAGCAACGCCGCGUGAGUGAUGAAGGUCUUCGGAUCGUAAAACUCUGUUAUUAGGGAAGAACAUAUGUGUAAGUAACUGUGCACAUCUUGACGGUACCUAAUCAGAAAGCCACGGCUAACUACGUGCCAGCAGCCGCGGUAAUACGUAGGUGGCAAGCGUUAUCCGGAAUUAUUGGGCGUAAAGCGCGCGUAGGCGGUUUUUUAAGUCUGAUGUGAAAGCCCACGGCUCAACCGUGGAGGGUCAUUGGAAACUGGAAAACUUGAGUGCAGAAGAGGAAAGUGGAAUUCCAUGUGUAGCGGUGAAAUGCGCAGAGAUAUGGAGGAACACCAGUGGCGAAGGCGACUUUCUGGUCUGUAACUGACGCUGAUGUGCGAAAGCGUGGGGAUCAAACAGGAUUAGAUACCCUGGUAGUCCACGCCGUAAACGAUGAGUGCUAAGUGUUAGGGGGUUUCCGCCCCUUAGUGCUGCAGCUAACGCAUUAAGCACUCCGCCUGGGGAGUACGACCGCAAGGUUGAAACUCAAAGGAAUUGACGGGGACCCGCACAAGCGGUGGAGCAUGUGGUUUAAUUCGAAGCAACGCGAAGAACCUUACCAAAUCUUGACAUCCUUUGACAACUCUAGAGAUAGAGCCUUCCCCUUCGGGGGACAAAGUGACAGGUGGUGCAUGGUUGUCGUCAGCUCGUGUCGUGAGAUGUUGGGUUAAGUCCCGCAACGAGCGCAACCCUUAAGCUUAGUUGCCAUCAUUAAGUUGGGCACUCUAAGUUGACUGCCGGUGACAAACCGGAGGAAGGUGGGGAUGACGUCAAAUCAUCAUGCCCCUUAUGAUUUGGGCUACACACGUGCUACAAUGGACAAUACAAAGGGCAGCGAAACCGCGAGGUCAAGCAAAUCCCAUAAAGUUGUUCUCAGUUCGGAUUGUAGUCUGCAACUCGACAACAUGAAGCUGGAAUCGCUAGUAAUCGUAGAUCAGCAUGCUACGGUGAAUACGUUCCCGGGUCU